GUGGGGAAUAUUGCGCAAUGGGGGGAACCCUGACGCAGCCAUGCCGCGUGAAUGAAGAAGGCCUUCGGGUUGUAAAGUUCUUUCGGUGACGAGGAAGGUAACAUUGCUAAUACCAAUGUUAAUUGACGUUAAUCACAGAAGAAGCACCGGCUAACUCCGUGCCAGCAGCCGCGGUAAUACGGAGGGUGCGAGCGUUAAUCGGAAUAACUGGGCGUAAAGGGCACGCAGGCGGAUUUUUAAGUGAGGUGUGAAAGCCCCGGGCUUAACCUGGGAAUUGCAUUUCAGACUGGGAAUCUAGAGUACUUUAGGGAGGGGUAGAAUUCCACGUGUAGCGGUGAAAUGCGUAGAGAUGUGGAGGAAUACCGAAGGCGAAGGCAGCCCCUUGGGAAUGUACUGACGCUCAUGUGCGAAAGCGUGGGGAGCAAACAGG
rnacentral:rRNA from 1 species